rnacentral:rRNA from 1 species
UACGUAGGGCGCGAGCGUUGUCCGGAAUCAUUGGGCGUAAAGAGCUCGUAGGCGGCCUGUCGCGUCUGCUGUGAAAUCCCGGGGCUUAACCCCGGGCGUGCAGUGGAUACGGGCUGGCUGGAGGCAGGCAGGGGAGAACGGAAUUCCCGGUGUAGCGGUGAAAUGCGCAGAUACCGGGAGGAACACCGGUGGCGAAGGCGGUUCUCUGGGCCUGUUCUGACGCUGAGGAGCGAAAGCGUGGGGAGCGAACAGG